rnacentral:rRNA from 1 species
GUGGGGAAUCUUGCGCAAUGGGCGAAAGCCUGACGCAGCCAUGCCGCGUGAAUGAUGAAGGUCUUAGGAUUGUAAAAUUCUUUCACCGGGGACGAUAAUGACGGUACCCGGAGAAGAAGCUCCGGCUAACUUCGUGCCAGCAGCCGCUGUAAUACGAAGGGGGCUAGCGUUGCUCGGAAUUACUGGGCGUAAAGGGCGCGUAGGCGGACAGCUUAGUCAGAGGUGAAAGCCCAGGGCUCAACCUUGGAAUUGCCUUUGAUACUGGCUGUCUUGAGUUUGGGAGAGGUGAGUGGAACUCCGAGUGUAGAGGUGAAAUUCGUAGAUAUUCGGAAGAACACCAGUGGCGAAGGCGACUCACUGGCCCAAUACUGACGCUGAGGCGCGAAAGCGUGGGGAGCAAACAGGAUUAGAAACCCCGGUAGUCC